AGGGAAACGCCMGGUUACAUUCCGAACCCGGAAGCUAAGCCUUACAGCGCCGAUGGUACUGCAGGGGGGACCCUGUGGGAGAGUAGGUCGCCGCCGAAC
rnacentral:rRNA from 1 species